GACAGAGGAUGCAAGCGUUAUCCGGAAUGAUUGGGCGUAAAGCGUCUGUAGGUGGCUUUUCAAGUCCUCCGUCAAAUCCCAGGGCUCAACCCUGGACAGGCGGUGGAAACUGCCAAGCUGGAGUACGGUAGGGGCAGAGGGAAUUUCCGGUGGAGCGGUGAAAUGCGUAGAGAUCGGAAAGAACAACAAAGGCGAAAGCACUCUGCUGGGCCGCCACUGACACUGAGAGACGAAAGCUAGGGGAGCGAAUGGG
rnacentral:rRNA from 1 species